CGCAUCUGUGCAUGCAGCAUAUCAAUAAGCGGAGGAAAAGAAACUAACAAGGAUUCCCCUAGUAACGGCGAGUGAAGCGGGAAGAGCUCAAAUUUGAAAUCUUAAAGGGUUUCCCUUUACGAAUUGUAGUUUAAAGAAGUGUUUUCUGUUGAGGUUUUGGUAAAAGUUCUUUGGAAUAGGACAUCAUAGAGGGUGAGAAUCCCGUAUUUGACCUUUACUUUCAACUUUGUGAUACACUUUCAAAGAGUCGGAUUGUUUGGGAAUGCAGUCCAAAAUGGGUGGUAAAUUUCAUCUAAAGCUAAAUAUUGGCGAGAGACCGAUAGCGAACAAGUACCGUGAGGGAAAGAUGAAAAGAGCUUUGAAAAGAGAGUUAAACAGUACGUGAAAUUGUCAAAAGGGAAGCGUUUGACACCAGUGUUGUUUUUCUGAAAAUCAAUUAAAGAACUGUUUAUGCUAAGUUGUUUAGACUUUAUCAGCUAACUGUUUAGUUUUGAGCCUUUCUUUAAUGCACUUUUCAGUUAACAAGUCAACAUCAAUUUCUUUUGCUGUAAAAAAGCUUGAGGAAGGUGGCUUGAGAUUCGUCUUAAGUGUUUAUAGCCUCUUGCCUAUGCAGUCGGAGAGAUUGAGGUCUGCAGCGUAGAUCCUUCGGGGCUAAAUGCAUUUGUGCUAAGUUAUAGCAUUUUAUAGACAACUUGUUGACUAUGAUUUGUCUUGUAGCUUACUCGCUUAUGUUAUUUUACCUACGCUUAGGAUGUUGACAGCAGUAUAGACUGU
rnacentral:rRNA from 1 species